AAUUCAGCAUGUAACGCGUUUACUCCUUGAAUCAAAUCUCUUUGACUAAACGCACUUAAACUGUAGACAGGAAUAAAGCAACAGUUACCUUCCAGAACUUUUCGGCCCUGGACCGUUUGCGGGAGUGCGAUACUAGCCCUGUAGAAGACGCAUGGUCAAAAAUCAUCUUGAAGGCAAGAGGACUUGCACAGAAUAUAUGGACUGCAUACAGUCAGAAUGCUUUAUAUGGCUCCCAGAAGCCCUUCCAAUUAUCAUGCACCCAUAAAAAAUAAGAAUCCAGCCCAUUCGAGCAGGAGAUCCCAUUACACGCUAAUGGAAGAGCAGACUGAGCAGCCAUCCUGUCUGGCAGACAUUUAGCAGGGAUGGAACAAGACAACAGAUACAAGAUCUCCACUUGGGAGAGAGUUCCAGAGUUUUGGAGCAAGGGAGGAAAAUGCCCGGUCACCCAUUGAGCGUAGAUGAGAAGAGGAAACAGUCAAAAGGCCAGAAUCAGAAGAACGGAGAUACCACCUAGUAAGAGUUGCUGGUGGAUCCUGAGUUAUCUGAGGUGAAGACCCCAGAUGAGACAGUGAGCAUUUGGGGCCUGCUGAGAGUGCCACAACACUGAAACACCUGCUAAUGGAUCAAAUACAACAAGAACAAACUGCAACAGAGACCUGCGCCGUGGAGACCAAACACCUACAGAGGCUGUCAGGUCAGAGGUGAAGAGGACAAACAGUCUAUGUGCUUUAACUCUACGCCCAGAUUUACACUUUCUAACCUUCCUGAUCCCGUCAGUAGAAGCAGUGCUGACGCAAGCAUUAGCGUCUAAUACCCUGGCGGUAGUGUCUGACACCCUGUCAACGGCUACUGUGGAGAGAAGGGUCAUGGUGAGCUGGGAAUGUGUUUUCCUCAUUUACAAAUCUUGACGCUCAUGCACAUCGACAACAUGGGUCCCAGGGUACCUGUCAGAUUACACUUUCCUUUACACAGUCCAGUUCUCCAGGGCUGAGUGGAUGGAUUUCAUACUUCUCAAUGCACAUGAGUGUAAACAUGUCAUUCCGAGGUGAUAUGAAUGAAAAUUCCUUGACUUGGUUUGCUGAUGCAAAAGCAUGGUGUAAUUUCUGGCUGAGGGUGAUUGACUGAACAAGCUUCAUUAACAUAGCAAACACAAGAAACUCUGAGUAAGCACUGUGAACUUAAACAAUCAGACUUGUAAAUAAAUACAGCAAUGUACCACAGGGGUCAAAGUUUUUCACUUUAAUUAAAAGAGCAGCGAAAUUUACAGGUUUGCCACUUUAAUGAAUUGUAUUUCGGAGCAAAAUCCUAUCUGUUAAUUUAAUGCUGUUCCAUGUGUAACAAACUGUCAUUCGCUUUUAGAAAAGAUACCUCAUUUCAUGCAAAUGAGUCUUAUUAAAAAAUGUGCAAUUUACACAGUGUUCUUACCAGACACAGUCGUGACGGGCUGCACUAUAUUUUGUAGGUCGUUUUGUGUCUAUUUCUGUGACAUUGUGCCAGGUAGCCCCACUCAAAAUGAAAUCUCAUUACACUGAUGUACCACCUCCCUUAUGUAUAUUAAAUGACAAACAUGAAUGAGGAGAAAUCAAUAUAUGUCAAAUCCUCUAAAUUCUACAAG